AUCAGACAGCGGUCCGCUCAGUCGCGUCUUGGAGCCGGUGCAAGGAGGCGACUCGCCUGCGCAGGGGAGGGAAGGCCAUGGCAGACCGUGACCGCAUCGACGAUAUCCUUUCGGCGGUUGGGUAUGGCCGCUGGCAGAUACCCAUAUUAAUGGCUACCAUUGUAGCCAACACCAUUCCCCUGCACUACAUGGCCUCCUCGCUGCUGAAUGCCCCCAUGUCCUUCCGCUGCUUUGCG